CAAGGCUAUGGAUAAUUUUUAAUGCACGGUUGGUGUUACAAUCUAAUAAUCAGCUGUGUUAGUAAAACCAUUCUUCUUCCUGAUUCGUCUCGAGCAUGUAUUAAAUAACUUACGUUUUAACAUUUUAUCAACUUCAACACCAAUGCGCUCUCUGCUUAUAGAUGACCGUAAUCGCUCAUGAAGUUCGGGAUUUUUCAACCCCUUAAUAGUCUCUUCGUGAAUGUUGAAAUCAUAUUUCGUAGCAAAACGAAUACAUCGAACUGCUCGUAAAGGGUCGUCACCAAACGUCUCAUCGGCUACAAGUGGUGUCCUUAUAAUUUUAUUACUUAAGUCAACCAAUCCUUUUCCCGUAAAGUCUUCCACAGUCUUACUCUUCAAGUUGUAAAAUAAAGCAUUGAUUGUUGCGUCCCGUCUCAAAGCAUCUUCUAAAGGUGUUCCGAAAACGAGUUUGUUAGACGAAUUUGAAUUAGUGUAGUCAUGAUGUCUUAAAUUAACAAUGUCAAUAUCCAUUCCCAUAAUUCUUGCAGUGGCUGUUUCAAGGUGCUUUGACUUUAGAGGAUUCGCAUCAAUUUUGAUAACUUUUGUCUCCCAGUCAGGGUGUUGUUGAGCCAAAUAACUUUGGAGAUGCUGUGCAAAUUCGAAACCGGACAUACAAUCAAUAGCUACAUCUAUAUCGUGACUUUCGAUUCUUAAUAACUAACAAUUUAAUAAGUACAAGAAACUUAUAAAUUCCGAACACAGGAAAGCUUUGACUUACUUUAUCACGAACCCAACCACCGGCAAAUCUAACUUCAGGCUCCUUCCGAUCCAUUUGACCAAUUUUCUUUGAGACAUUGAGGAAUAUAUCACUUAACUCCUUUUCGGUUUCGUUCAGCUCCAAAAUAGAAGAGCUGCUAGCCAUUGGAGAUGAAUGAUAUUUUCUCAAAAUACGAGUGUCGGGACCAGAAAACUUAGUAAGUAUAACUUUUUUUAAUAUCCGAUUUCUCACAGCGGAGAUGCACAUUCACUAAAGUGAGAAACGUAUGUAAAUAUGGAAAAAGCCAAAUCUUUUAAAACUUCUUACAUAACGUUAGCAAUAAAAUAAAAUUUAAAAUAACUAUAAGAUAGGACGAAAAAAAACCUUUUAUACUAAGCAAUCAAGCAGAGAAAGAAGAUAGAACAUGUCAAUAGGUUGUCAAUGCAUACGAGGUGAAGUGCCUUGUGUUCCAUCAGUUUAACGAGAUUA